rfam:Bacillus koreensis strain DSM 16467 scaffold5, whole genome shotgun sequence.
CCCGUGCUACAACCGCGCAGAACGGGUUUUAAGUUCAUGAUGAACACCUGUGAUGGCGAGUCUGAGUCUAUUG